UGGACGAAAGUCUGAUGGAGCAACGCCGCGUGAACGAUGAAGGCUUUCGGGUCGUAAAGUUCUGUUGUAAGGGAAGAACAAGUGCCGCAGGCAAUGGCGGCACCUUGACGGUACCUUGCGAGAAAGCCACGGCUAACUACGUGCCAGCAGCCGCGGUAAUACGUAGGUGGCAAGCGUUGUCCGGAAUUAUUGGGCGUAAAGCGCGCGCAGGCGGCCUCUUAAGUCUGAUGUGAAAGCCCCCCGGCUCAACCGGGGAGGGCCAUUGGAAACUGGGAGGCUUGAGUAUAGGAGAGAAGAGUGGAAUUCCACGUGUAGCGGUGAAAUGCGUAGAGAUGUGGAGGAACACCAGUGGCGAAGGCGACUCUUUGGCCUAUAACUGACGCUGAGGCGCGAAAGCGUGGGGAGCAAACAGGAUUAGAUACCCUGGUAG
rnacentral:rRNA from 1 species